GACGAACGCUGGCGGCGCGCCUAACACAUGCAAGUCGAACGAGCGAGAGAGAGCUUGCUUUCUCGAGCGAGUGGCGAACGGGUGAGUAACGCGUGAGGAACCUGCCUCAAAGAGGGGGACAACAGUUGGAAACGACUGCUAAUACCGCAUAAGCCCACAGCUCGGCAUCGAGCAGAGGGAAAAGGAGCAAUCCGCUUUGAGAUGGCCUCGCGUCCGAUUAGCUAGUUGGUGAGGUAACGGCCCACCAAGGCGACGAUCGGUAGCCGGACUGAGAGGUUGAACGGCCACAUUGGGACUGAGACACGGCCCAGACUCCUACGGGAGGCAGCAGUGGGGAAUAUUGCACAAUGGGGGAAACCCUGAUGCAGCGACGCCGCGUGGAGGAAGAAGGUCUUCGGAUUGUAAACUCCUGUUGU
rnacentral:rRNA from 1 species